CCUACGGGAGGCAGCAGUGAGGAAUAUUGGUCAAUGGGCGCGAGCCUGAACCAGCCAAGUAGCGUGAAGGAUGACUGCCCUACGGGUUGUAAACUUCUUUUAUAAAGGAAUAAAGUGAGGCACGUGUGCCUUUUUGUAUGUACUUUAUGAAUAAGGAUCGGCUAACUCCGUUCCAGCAGCCGCGGUAAUACGGAGUAUGCGAGCGUUAUCCGGAUUUAUUGGGUUAAAAGGGUGCGUAGGCGGAUCGUUAAGUCAGUGGUAAAAUUGAGGGGCUCAACCCCUUCCCGCCAUUGAAACUGGCGGUCUUGAGUGGAAGAGAAGUAUGCGGAAUGCGUGGUGUAGCGGUGAAAUGCAUAGAUAUCACGCAGAACCCCGAUUGCGAAGACAGCAUGCCGGCUUCCGACUGACGCUGAAGCACGAAAGCGUGGGGAUCGAACAGGAUUAGAUACCCUUGUAGUC
rnacentral:rRNA from 1 species